GGAGUCGGCCGGAUGGUCGCUGCCCUUUAAGGGUGGAGGAAAGUCCGGGCUCCACAGGACGGAACGCCAGGUAACGCCUGGGGGGCGCAAGCCUACGGAAAGUGCCACAGAAAAUAUACCGCCGAAGCCUUCGGGCUGGUAAGGUUGAAAUGGUGCGGUAAGAGCGCACCGCGCCACUGGUAACAGUGGUGGCAGGGUAAACCCCGUUCGGAGCAAGACCAAAUAGAGGGGCAGGCGGUUUGAUCCGCGACAUGUGGUCCACAUGGUCCCUGGGUAGGUUGCUUGAGGCAUGCGGUGACGCAUGUCCCAGAUGAAUGGCCAUUCUCGACAGAACCCGGCUUACAGGCCGGCUCCUAAU
rnacentral:RNase_P_RNA from 1 species